AGAGUUUGAUCAUGGCUCAGAAUGAACGCUGGCGGCGCGCCUAAUACAUGCAAGUCGAGCGAGAAGACGUAGCAAUACGUUUGUAAAGCGGCGAACGGGUGAGGAAUACAUGGGUAACCUACCCUCGAGUGGGGAAUAACUAGCCGAAAGGUUAGCUAAUACCGCGUACGCUCCUUGGACUUCGGUUCAGGGAGGAAAGCGAUACCGUGGGUAUCGCGCUCUUGGUUGGGCUCAUGUCCUAUCAGCUUGUUGGUGAGGUAACGGCUCACCAAGGCUUCGACGGGUAGCUGGUCUGAGAGGACGAUCAGCCACACUGGCACUGCGACACGGGCCAGACUCCUACGGGAGGCAGCAGUAAGGAAUAUUGCGCAAUGGGCGAAAGCCUGACGCAGCGACGCCGCGUGGGGGAUGAAGGUCUUCGGAUUGUAAACCCCUUUCGGGAGGGAAGAUGGAAUGGGGUAACCCAUUCGGACGGUACCUCCAGAAGCAGCCACGGCUAACUUCGUGCCAGCAGCCGCGGUAAUACGAAGGUGGCAAGCGUUAUUCGGAUUUACUGGGCGUACAGGGAGCGUAGGCGGUUCGGUAAGCCCUCUGUGAAAUCUUCAGGCUUAACCUGGAAAAGUCGGAGGGGACUGCCGGGCUAGAGGACGGGAGAGGAGCGCGGAAUUCCCGGUGUAGCGGUGAAAUGCGUAGAGAUCGGGAGGAAGGCCGGUGGCGAAGGCGGCGCUCUGGAACGUUUCUGACGCUGAGGCUCGAAAGCGUGGGGAGCAAACAGGAUUAGAUACCCUUGUAGUCC
rnacentral:rRNA from 1 species